rnacentral:rRNA from 1 species
CCUGACGACCAUAGCGAGUGGGAACCACCUGAUUCCAUGCCGAACUCAGAAGUGAAACCGCUUAGCGCCGAUGGUAGUGUGGGGUCUCCCCAUGUGAGAGUAGGACAUCGUCAGGC